rnacentral:lncRNA from 1 species
GGCUUGAAAUUCUCCUGGUAUGUGCCAAAAUGUCUUCUAUAAAUCUGGUAGGCUUAUGUACUUAGUCUGCCUAUUUUGCAUGUUGCAGUUUGCUAUUUUUCCUCUAUUCCUAAUCCCCAUCUUCCAACCCAGAAACCAGAUGGUUUGAAGCCAUUGUCCUUCCCUGUGAUCUCAGUUGUCUUUUUAUUUAAGGCACCUCAGCCAAGUUCAUUAAAGGCAGGUGGGGUUAGAUGGCUCCAGUGCUCUGGCAUAGAAGUACCAUAUAAUCUCUUCUCAGCUGCUUGGAACUCACUUUUGCCUCCACCAGCUCCAUCUGCUUCCCUCACUCUCUUCCAAUUCCUGGUGUACAGAGCAGCCUUAGCUGUCUCUUGAUCCCUCACAGCAAGCUGGCCUGGACCCUGCUUUCUCUGGAAGGAAAUUGCUUUCUAAAAAGCUUAAUAAUGGAGCACCUUCCCCCAGCAUCAGCCUCAUGAUGCACCCAGAGCAUUACUAGUUGGAGGACCUUGUUCUGCUGGUAGAGUGAAAGCUGAAUGCUACUUUGUGCUUUCCUCCACACUACAUGGUCUACUGGGAAAGGUGUUUCCUCCUUGAAGAGUGUCAGCACAAACACCACCAUGCUGAGGAUUUACAGGCAGAAGAGAAUUGCACCAGAUGCCAGUUCAGUGCACUCACACUUUUCUGAUGGUGCAACAAAAGAAACCCUGGUAGCCUGCCUGCAGACAAGUUACUUGCAUCACUCGUUGGUUGUCUUGCUGUGUGAAAGUAGUGCACCCAGAAACAGGAUGUGGGAGCUGCUCCUCAACUGCAUUUCUUCUUUGAGUACUUAGACCUGUGCUGGACACACUUGAUAAUACUUCUCCAUACAAUCUAACCCUUCAGCAGCCUUCUGUUUAUCUCGAUUGGAAAGCAGGUCAGUAUAAAGACAAGAGUUCCUCAAGUGCUACUAAGGCACAAAAAACAGUUCUCCUUUCUAAGUGGAUUUUUUUUUGUCCUUCUAUCACGUCUCUGGUUUCUCCUCACCCUCUUUAGAAACGGGACUGUCUGCCUGGAGAGAAAUGUGCCUUGGACAAACAAGACCAGAGAGUCUUCGCUUUGGAGUUCUUGAGAAGAACUAUCCCUUUUUAAAAGGGAGUUUAAACAAAAAUGUCUAGGCAGAGAGGGCUCACAACCUCUCCCUAGCAACAGCUGCCCCAGAAGGUGACUGCGGUGUUUCCAAUGAUGACCUCCAUGCAUCUCUCACGGCCUCAUCUCUUUUCAAGACCCUUUCAUGUGACAGACCCCAUGAUGAAUGCCUGGAGACUGUACUGUACCACAUUACUUAUUUUGUCAGAGCUGCUGUCUCUGCCAAAUGGUGGCCAGACACUCAGACAGACUCUCCCAAUUAGCAGAGUCCUGCAGCUGAUGUCUGGGGCUGCAUCUGUGUGCCCUGUGCAUUACUACAGCUGAGACACUGGCUAGGCCUGCAUGGCCCGGGGUAGGUAACCACCUCAGCCACAGGGCAAGGAGGAAGCAGCUGGGCCUUCUUGAAAGAUGCGAUUUCCCUCAGUUCCUCUUGCUUGGCUGUGAAGGCGGCUAUUUGCAUGUUUAGUCCUUUCAUCCUUCUGUGGCCUGGGUGGAUCUGGAGCCGGCAGAGUGACUCAUCUGGGUCAUGCCACAGGCCUUGGCUUCCUUCUCAGUCUCAGCAAGGAGCGACUCCACACGCUGACCGUGGCGGAUCCCACAGGAUGUCGGUAUGUGGGGCCGGCUCCUAGUGCAACUCGGACUCCAGGUGAGCCCUUGUGUCACUGGCAUCUCCAGGCUCCCCUGAGCCUUGGGCUUAUGGCAGUCUCAGUAUAACUCCAGAGAUGUCUGCCUCGUCCUUUUCCCUCUGCUCCCCAGAGACACAUCUCAUGUCCUUGUCCUUGCUGCAUGCUUGCAGCUGCUUUGUGUCCCACAGACUUGCUUUGCACCUUUCAGAAACUUUGCCACUUUUGCUGCAUAUACAAAAUAGCCUUCCUCCUCAGCACAAGUGCAUUUAAUCUCCCUGAACCCUUAAAAGAAAAUAUUCUUUUAAUUUUACUCCUGUGGUAAUCUCUUGUCUUCCCUCACAGUUACUUUUUGGCUGGUGUUCGCUUCUGAGAUCUUUUAUAAUGUUUCAGUGUUCUUUGAGCAGUGGCACUUGCAUGCUGCAACCAGACAUGGAUGAUGAAAGCCAUAUGCAAAGAAAUGGUCCUCCUCUGAAGAGCUCACAGACUGCAGGUGGUGGUGGGGAAAAGGUGGAUUCCCAAAGCAGCUACUUGGCAUUAUUGGCAGCAGCAAUCUGAAAAGAAAGACCCAACCAGACUGCAGCUUUGUUUGGCAUCAAACUUGCCUCCUGAGAUGAUCACACAAGAAGUCUUUUAUCACUUUGGCAGCUGAGAGCCAGAGCUGCUUGUGGUGGAAGUCGCUGGGACCGUAACCCCGAGUUGUCGUGGGAUGAGAGUCAAGCUUGGCCUGUCAGCAAGGCGAGUUGCAGCAGUCUGAGCCCCUGCCAGGACACGUCAGUACUUCUGAGCGUGCUUCCCCCGGUGCUGCUCUCAUUAAGGAAAAGGCCACAACCCUUGGUGAGACCAAUCUUUCUAGAGAUGUUUCCGGUCCCAAUUUCUUUUGGCAAGUCAACUCCAUAAUUCAGGUAUUUUGCCCAGUUGAAGGAAGGUGUGGGUGGCACAGUAGGAUCACCAAGAGACCACAAGACUUGGAAGAGUAAUAUUCUGCACUUCGUAUCCACGUUAACUAAUACUUGGACUCCUGCAGGCAAGUACCAGCUGGCAGGGAGAGGUGGGGAGAUGGGGCCUAGUCCAGCUCUCUAUCAAAACAAACUUCCCUGUGCUAUUGUUGAACAGAGCUGUUUAGAAAUACCAGCAGCUGAGCCAUGCACAGGCAUGAGCAGUCUCCAGUGUAACCCCUGAGAAGCUCUGUGGGCAGGAUUCUAAAUUGACUGGUAGACUGAAAUGACAGCAGUCACAUCACUGCUGUGUAUCUGUUACCCAUCUGUCUCUUGGGA